rnacentral:rRNA from 1 species
CCUACGGGAGGCAGCAGUGAGGAAUAGUGGUCAAUGGCCGGAAGGCUGAACCAGCCAUGCCGCGUGAAGGGCAGGGGCCUAGGGGCGUUAAACUUCUGUUGUGCGGGAGCAAGAAUGGGCACGGGUGGCCAGACGAGAGUACCGUACGAAGAAGCAACGGCGAACUCCGGGCCAGCAGCCGCGGGAAUACGGGGGAUGCAAGCGUUAUCCGGAUUUAGUGGGUUUAAAGGGGGCGUAGGCUGGGAGGUAAGUCAGCGGGGAAAGGCCCCCGCUCCACUGGGGGAAGUGCCAUUGAUACUGCCUUGCUGGACUUCGUCUGCCGUGGGAGGAAUGUGUGGUGUAGCGGU